rnacentral:rRNA from 1 species
ACAGGUGCUGCAUGGCUGUCGGUCAGCUCGUGUCGUGAGAUGUUGGGUUAAGUCCCGUAACGAGCGCAACCCUUGUCCUUAGUUACCAGCACGUUAUGGUGGGCACUCUAAGGAGACUGCCGGUGACAAACCGGAGGAAGGUGGGGAGUGACGUCAAGUCAUCAUGGCCCUUACGGCCUGGGCUACACACGUGCUACAAUGGUCGGUACAAAGGGUUGCCAAGCCGCGAGGUGGAGCUAAUCCCAUAAAACCGAUCGUAGUCCGGAUCGCAGUCUGCAACUCGACUGCGUGAAGUCGGAAUCGCUAGUAAUCGUGAAUCAGAAUGUCACGGUGAAUACGUUCCCGGGCCUU